rnacentral:rRNA from 1 species
CCCUAUGGGGUGCAGCAGGCGCGAAACCUUUACAAUGCACGCAAGUGUGAUAAGGGAACUCCGAGUGCUAAUACUUUGUAUUGGCUUUUGCCAAGAGUAAAAACCUUGGCGAAUAAGUGGUGGGUAAGACGGGUGCCAGCCGCCGCGGUAACACCUGCGCCACGAGUGGCAACCAGUUUUAUUGGGCCUAAAGCGUCCGUAGCUGGUUUGAUAAAUCUUUUGUGAAAUUGUUGCGCUUAACGUAACAGCGUGCAAAAGACACUAUCAGACUUGGAACCGGAGAGGGGUUAGGGGUAUUUCGGGGGGAGCGGUAAAAUGCUAUAAUCCCUGAAGGACCGCCAGUGGCGAAGGCGCCUAACCAGAACGGAUUCGACAGUGAGGGACGAAAGCCAGGGGAGCAAUCCGGAUUAGAUACCCGAGUAGUCCUGGCUGUAAACGCUGCGAGCUAGGUGUCGCAUAUACUUGAGUAUAUGCGGUGUCGGAGCGAAGGUGUUAAGCUCGCCGCCUGGGAAGUAUGGUCGCAAGACUGAAACUUAAAGGAAUUGGCGGGGGCACACCACAAGGGGUGCGGCGUGCGGUUUAAUCUAAUUCAACACAGAGAAUCUCACCAGGGGCGACGGCAGGAUGAAAGUCCGGCUAAAGACCUUACUUGACGAGCCGAGAGGAGGUGCAUGGCC